AGAAAAGACCAGACUUGGAGAUAAAAGAUUUUGUGGGAAAUAGUUUUAUUCGGAUGGAAAGUUUUACUCAGACAGCCCUGAAGACCUCCAUGAAAAUGAACUGUUAUAAUCUGGAAGUAGCUUCACAAUCCAAAUAUAAGGCACACUUAUAUGCUCAGUGAUAACUAUUGGCAGGAUCUGAAGAUGCUCAGAAAUGCAGGCUGAGACUCUACUUCCAGAAUACAAAGUAUGCUCCGUGUGCU